rnacentral:rRNA from 1 species
AGAGUUUGAUCAUGGCUCAGGACAAACGCUGGCGGCGUGCGUAACACAUGCAAGUCGAACGCGCGGGGGCAACCCUGGCGCGUGGCGGACGGGUGAGGAACACGUGAGGAACCUGGCUCUUGGUGGGGGACAACCUGCAGAAAUGCGGGCUAAUCCCGCAUACGGCUCCGGUGGGAGGACAUCGGAGAGAAAGCAGUAAUGCGCCGAGAGAGGGGCUUGCGGCCGAUUAGCUAGUUGGUGUGGUAAGAGCGCACCAAGGCGACGAUCGGUAGCUGGUCUGAGAGGACGAGCAGCCACACUGGGAUUGAGAACGGCCCAGACUCCUACGGGGGGCAGCAGUGAGGAAUCUUCGGCAAUGGGGGCAACCCUGACCGAGCGACGCCGCGUGCGGGAAGACGGCCUUCGGGUUGUAAACCGCUUUUCUGUGGGACGAGAACGGACGGUACCACAGGAAGAAGCCUCGGCUAACUACGUGCCAGCCGCCGCGGUAAUAC